GAAAUCCUGGUGUGACCAAGCUACCAAGGUAGACCAGCGCCGACCUGAAGGAACCCGAGCAGCUGGUCAGAACUGUAAGCUUACGAAAGAGAUGCUAUGAAGCACAACGGGCCAAGCAAAUUUAACAGUCACUCAUUUAUGGAAAAGUUGGCUGACACUCCUUGGGAGGAAUUUAAUUUCAAAGAGGUCUGCAGAGAUUGCUGAACAAAUACAACAAAGGGUGCAGUAAUAACGGCACUAAGAGAGAGCCUCAACUCAGUGCCAUUCUCUGUCUCAGCCAUGUGGGUGUAACAGGUAACAAAGCCUGGAGACUUUCUCUCUUGGUGGAAUUUACAUGAUAACUGAGGAUAACAGAAGAUGACACUAUAAAUGACCCGAAAGAUCACAUUCAGAUCAGCCUGCUUUGCUGUUCAUCUGUGGGAACAGAAGACAUCCUCACAGAAGAUCUCUCUCUCUCUGAAUAAAGCAUAACAGCAAAUUUCCAAAAUA